AGCCUAAGUCCCCUAAAAAGGAUAUGGCACAGAAUCCUAAGUAACAAACAUGGUCUUCUGACCUGCGCUUGUUACUUAGGUCUAUACUCGAAAGGGUGUAGGGCGGUUCCGAAAGGAGCUGUC
rnacentral:sRNA from 12 species